UGUAUAAUGGGUCAGCGACUUAUAUUCUGUAGCAAGGUUAACCGAAUAGGGGAGCCGAAGGGAAACCGAGUCUUAACUGGGCGUUAAGUUGCAGGGUAUAGACCCGAAACCCGGUGAUCUAGCCAUGGGCAGGUUGAAGGUUGGGUAACACUAACUGGAGGACCGAACCGACUAAUGUUGAAAAAUUAGCGGAUGACUUGUGGCUGGGGGUGAAAGGCCAAUCAAACCGGGAGAUAGCUGGUUCUCCCCGAAAGCUAUUUAGGUAGCGCCUCGUGAAUUCAUCUCCGGGGGUAGAGCACUGUUUCGGCAAGGGGGUCAUCCCGACUUACCAACCCGAUGCAAACUGCGAAUACCGGAGAAUGUUAUCACGGGAGACACACGGCGGGUGCUAACGUCCGUCGUGAAGAGGGAAACAACCCAGACCGCCAGCUAAGGUCCCAAAGUCAUGGUUAAGUGGGAAACGAUGUGGGAAGGCCCAGACAGCCAGGAUGUUGGCUUAGA
rnacentral:rRNA from 1 species